GCGAGCGUGGCGAAACUGGUAGACGCAACGGACUUAAAAUCCGUCGACCUUGGUCAUGCGGGUUCGACCCCCGCCGCUCGCACCA
rnacentral:tRNA from 1 species